rnacentral:rRNA from 1 species
UACGUAGGGUCCGAGCGUUGUCCGGAAUUAUUGGGCGUAAAGAGCUCGUAGGCGGUCUGUCGCGUCCGUUGUGAAAACUCGAGGCUCAACCUCGGGCUUGCAGUGGAUACGGGCAGACUAGAGUGCGGUAGGGGAGACUGGAAUUCCUGGUGUAGCGGUGGAAUGCGCAGAUAUCAGGAGGAACACCGAUGGCGAAGGCAGGUCUCUGGGCCGCAACUGACGCUGAGGAGCGAAAGCAUGGGGAGCGAACAGG